UCUCUGCUUAGUCGUAGGUGAGAAAGAUUUUUUUAUGUUUUCUUUAAAAAAAUUUUUUUAAAUUACUUUAUUAUUAUUUUAUUUUUAGGAAUUUAAAUGUUUUCUUUUAAAUUUCUUUAAAUUGUUUUACAAUUUAGAUUCAAACCUGUGAUUUAUUUUGAGUUAAUUUUUGUAUAUUCUUUGAGGCUUAGGUUGAGGUCGGUUUUUUUUUUUUUCCUAUGAAUGUCCAAUUGCCCCAGCUACAUGUGAAUUGUUGUGUAGGAUAUCAUUCCUCCAUUUAAUUGAUAAUGCAACUGUAAAAAAUCAGUUGGGGGCUUCCCUGGUGGCACAGUGGUUGAGAAUCCGCCUGCCAAAGCAGGGGACACAGGUUUGAGCCCUGGUCCAGGAAGAUCCCUCAUGCCAUGGAGCAACUAAACCCAUGCACCACAACUACUGAGCCUGUGCUCUAGAGCCUGUGAGCCACAACUACUGAGCCCGUGUGCCACAACUACUGAAGCCCACAUGUUUAGAGCCCAUGCUCUGCAACAAGAGAAGCCACCACAAUGAGAAGCCCAUGCACCACAAUGAAGAGGAGCCCCCGCUCAACACAACUAGAGAAAACCCACAUGCAGCAACGAAGACUCAAUGCAGCCAAAAAUAAAAUUAAUUAAUUUUAAAAAAUCAGUUGGAAUCUAUAUGAAAAAUUAACUGGAAUCCUUAUGAAAUUCAUCUAAAUUGAUUUUUUUUACAUAAAGGCUGCUGUUUGAAUAAAUGAUGCACCAUUCACAUACUAUCUUUCUCUACAGGCAUAAUUUGAAUGAAGGUCCUCCUUACCAUGCCCAUGCGUGAUGUUACCUUCAGGAAAUAUUCUUUUAUUUUCUUUUUUUUUUUUGGCCACGCAGCAUGCAGGAUCUUAGUUCCCUGACUAGAGAUUAAACCUGUGACCCCUGCAGUGGAGGCACAGAGUCACUGGACCGCCAGAGAAAUCCCCAGGAUAUAUUCUUAAGUGAAAAAAGGGAGUAUAAAUUUUACCUCUGGGACUUCCCUGGUGGCGCAGUGGUAAAGAAUCUGCCUGCCAAUGCAGGAGAGACAGGUUCAAGCCCUGGUCCAGGAAGAUCCCACAUGCCGCAGAGCAACUAAGCCCGUGUGCCACAGCUACUGAGCCUGCGCUCUAGAGCCCUUGAGUCACAACUACUGAGCCCGUGUGCCACAACUACUGAAGCCCGUGUGCUUAGAGCCCGUGCUCUGCAACAAGAGAAGCCACUGCAGUGAGAAGCCCGCACACUGCAACAAAGAGCAGCCCUGCUCACCGCAACUAGAGAAAGCCUGCACGCAGCAACGAAGACUCAACACAGCCAAAAAUAAAUAAAUAAAAUAAAUAAAUUUAUUUAAAAAAAA